GCCUGAGUGGCUCAGUCAGUUGAGCAUCCGACUUCAGCUCAGGUCAUGAUCUCAUGGUUAGUGGGUUCGAGACCCACAUCAGGCU
rnacentral:tRNA from 1 species